CUUAGGGAGUUGUUUGUUUCAUAACGGGUACAGUCUCUAACUUAGGGAGUUGUUUGUUUCCUAACGGGUACAGUCUCUAACUUAGGGAGUUGUUUGUUUCCUAACGGGUACAGUCUCUAACUUAGGGAGUUGUUUGUUUCCUAACAGGUACAGUCUCUAACUUAGGGAGUUGUUUGUUUCCUAACAGGUACAGUCUCUAACUUAGGGAGUUGUUUGUUUCCUAACAGGUACAGUCUCUAACUUAGGGAGUUGUUUGUUUCCUAACGGGUACAGUCUCUAACUUAGGGAGUUGUUUGUUCCAGAACGGGUACAGUCUCUAACUUAGGGAGUUGUUUGUUUCCUAACGGGUACAGUCUCUAACUUAGGGAGUUGUUUGUUUCCUAACGGGUACAGUCUCUAACUUAGGGAGUUGUUUGUUUCCUAACGGGUACAGUCUCUAACUUAGGGAGUUGUUUGUUCCAGAACGGGUACAGUCUCUAACUUAGGGAGUUGUUUGUUUCCUAACGGGUACAGUCUCUAACUUAGGGAGUUGUUUGUUUCCUAACGGGUACAGUCUCUAACUUAGGGAGUUGUUUGUUUCCUAACGGGUACAGUCUCUAACUUAGGGAGUUGUUUGUUCCAGAACGGGUAC